ACGCCGCGUGAGUGAUGAAGGUUUUCGGAUCGUAAAGCUCUGUUGCUUAGGGAAGAACAAGUGCGAGAGUAACUGCUCGCACCUUGACGGUACCUAACCAGAAAGCCACGGCUAACUACGUGCCAGCAGCCGCGGUAAUACGUAGGUGGCAAGCGUUGUCCGGAAUUAUUGGGCGUAAAGGGCUCGCAGGCGGUUUCUUAAGUCUGAUGUGAAAGCCCCCGGCUCAACCGGGGAGGG
rnacentral:rRNA from 1 species